UACGGAGGAUGCGAGCGUUAUCCGGAUUUAUUGGGUUUAAAGGGUGCGUAGGCGGGUUAUCGAGUCAGCGGUAAAAUCGUGGAGCUCAACUCCAUCCAGCCGUUGAAACUGAUGAUCUUGAGUGGGCGAGAAGUAUGCGGAAUGCGUGGUGUAGCGGUGAAAUGCAUAGAUAUCACGCAGAACUCCGAUUGCGAAGGCAGCAUACCGGCGCCCGACUGACGCUGAAGCACGAAAGCGUGGGUAUCGAACAGG
rnacentral:rRNA from 1 species